rnacentral:rRNA from 1 species
UACGUAGGGGGCUAGCGUUGUCCGGAAUCAUUGGGCGUAAAGAGCGUGUAGGCGGCUCGGUAAGUCCGCUGUAAAAGUCAAAGGCUCAACCUUUGAAUGUCAGUGGAUACUGCCGGGCUAGAGUCCGGAAGAGGCGAGUGGAACUCCUGGUGUAGCGGUGGAAUGCGCAGAUAUCAGGAAGAACACCAACGGCGAAGGCGGCCCGCUGGGCAGUGGCUGACGCUGAGGCGCGACAGCGUGGGGAGCAAACAGG